rnacentral:rRNA from 1 species
UACGGAGGGUGCAAGCGUUGCUCGGAAUUAUUGGGCGUAAAGCGUGCGCAGGCGGUGAUGUAAGACCGAUGUGAAAUCCCCGGGCUUAACCUGGGAACUGCAUUGGUGACUGCAUCGCUCGAGUAUGGCAGAGGGGGGUAGAAUUCCACGUGUAGCAGUGAAAUGCGUAGAGAUGUGGAGGAAUACCGAUGGCGAAGGCAGCCCCCUGGGUCAAUACUGACGCUCAUGCACGAAAGCGUGGGGAGCAAACAGG